rnacentral:rRNA from 1 species
UACGUAGGUGGCAAGCGUUGUCCGGAUUUAUUGGGUUUAAAGGGUGCGUAGGCGGUCUAUUAAGUCAGUGCUGAAAUAUCCCGGCUUAACCGGGAGGGUGGCAUUGAUACUGAUGGGCUUGAGUAAAGUUGAGGUUGGCGGAAUUGACGGUGUAGCGGUGAAAUGCUUAGAUAUCGUCAAGAACACCUAUUGCGAAGGCAGCUAACUAAGCUUAAACUGACGCUGAGGCACGAAAGUGUGGGGAUCAAACAGG